CCUACGGGAGGCUGCAGUGGGGAAUAUUGGACAAUGGGCGAAAGCCUGAUCCAGCCAUGCCGCGUGUGUGAAGAAGGCCUUCGGGUUGUAAAGCACUUUCAGUGGGGAAGAAAGCCUUGGGGCUAAUACCCUCGAGGAAGGACAUCACCCACAGAAGAAGCACCGGCUAACUCCGUGCCAGCAGCCGCGGUAAUACGGAGGGAGCGAGCGUUAAUCGGAAUUACUGGGCGUAAAGCGCGCGUAGGCGGUCUGAUAAGCCGGUUGUGAAAGCCCCGGGCUCAACCUGGGAACGGCAUCCGGAACUGUCAGGCUAGAGUGCAGGAGAGGAAGGUAGAAUUCCCGGUGUAGCGGUGAAAUGCGUAGAGAUCGGGAGGAAUACCAGUGGCGAAGGCGGCCUUCUGGACUGACACUGACGCUGAGGUGCGAAAGCGUGGGUAGCAAACAGGAUUAGAUACCCCGGUAGUC
rnacentral:rRNA from 1 species